GAUGAACGCUGGCGGCGUGCCUAAUACAUGCAAGUCGAGCGAACGGACGAGAAGCUUGCUUCUCUGAUGUUAGCGGCGGACGGGUGAGUAACACGUGGAUAACCUACCUAUAAGACUGGGAUAACUUCGGGAAACCGGAGCUAAUACCGGAUAAUAUUUUGAACCGCAUGGUUCAAAAGUGAAAGACGGUCUUGCUGUCACUUAUAGAUGGAUCCGCGCUGCAUUAGCUAGUUGGUAAGGUAACGGCUUACCAAGGCAACGAUGCAUAGCCGACCUGAGAGGGUGAUCGGCCACACUGGAACUGAGACACGGUCCAGACUCCUACGGGAGGCAGCAGUAGGGAAUCUUCCGCAAUGGGCGAAAGCCUGACGGAGCAACGCCGCGUGAGUGAUGAAGGUCUUCGGAUCGUAAAACUCUGUUAUUAGGGAAGAACAUAUGUGUAAGUAACUGUGCACAUCUUGACGGUACCUAAUCAGAAAGCCACGGCUAACUACGUGCCAGCAGCCGCGGUAAUACGUAGGUGGCAAGCGUUAUCCGGAAUUAUUGGGCGUAAAGCGCGCGUAGCCGGUUUUUUAAGUCUGAUGUGAAAGCCCUCGGCUCAACCGUGGAGGGUCAUUGGAAACUGGAAAACUUGAGUGCAGAAGAGGAAAGUGGAAUUCCAUGUGUAGCGGUGAAAUGCGCAGAGAUAUGGAGGAACACCAGUGGCGAAGGCGACUUUCUGGUCUGUAACUGACGCUGAUGUGCGAAAGCGUGGGGAUCAAACAGGAUUAGAUACCCUGGUAGUCCACGCCGUAAACGAUGAGUGCUAAGUGUUAGGGGGUUUCCGCCCCUUAGUGCUGCAGCUAACGCAUUAAGCACUCCGCCUGGGGAGUACGACCGCAAGGUUGAAACUCAAAGGAAUUGACGGGGACCCGCACAAGCGGUGGAGCAUGUGGUUUAAUUCGAAGCAACGCGAAGAACCUUACCAAAUCUUGACAUCCUUUGACAACUCUAGAGAUAGAGCCUUCCCCUUCGGGGGACAAAGUGACAGGUGGUGCAUGGUUGUCGUCAGCUCGUGUCGUGAGAUGUUGGGUUAAGUCCCGCAACGAGCGCAACCCUUAAGCUUAGUUGCCAUCAUUAAGUUGGGCACUCUAAGUUGACUGCCGGUGACAAACCGGAGGAAGGUGGGGAUGACGUCAAAUCAUCAUGCCCCUUAUGAUUUGGGCUACACACGUGCUACAAUGGACAAUACAAAGGGCAGCGAAACCGCGAGGUCAAGCAAAUCCCAUAAAGUUGUUCUCAGUUCGGAUUGUAGUCUGCAACUCGACUACAUGAAGCUGGAAUCGCUAGUAAUCGUAGAUCAGCAUGCUACGGUGAAUACGUUCCCGGGUCU
rnacentral:rRNA from 1 species